rnacentral:rRNA from 1 species
GUGGGGAAUAUUGGACAAUGGGCGAAAGCCUGAUCCAGCCAUGCCGCGUGUGUGAAGAAGGUCUUCGGAUUGUAAAGCACUUUAAGUUGGGAGGAAGGGCAGUAAGUUAAUACCUUGCUGUUUUGAUGUUACCGACAGAAUAAGCACCGGCUAACUUCGUGCCAGCAGCCGCGGUAAUACGACGGGUGCAAGCGUUAAUCGGAAUUACUGGGCGUAAAGCGCGCGUAGGUGGUUUUGUAAGUUGGAGGUGAAAUCCCCGGGCUCAACCUGGGAACUGCCUCCAAAACUGCAUGACUAGAGUACGGUAGAGGGUAGUGGAAUUUCCUGUGUAGCGGUGAAAUGCGUAGAUAUAGGAAGGAACACCAGUGGCGAAGGCGACUACCUGGACUGAUACUGACACUGAGGUGCGAAAGCGUGGGGAGCAAACAGGAUUAGAUACCCUUGUAGUCC